CUGCAGCCAAUUAGGUCAACUGUUCUUUCCACAUGGGGGUCUAGAGUGGCUGCAGAGAGCAGCCUCCUUGGUAGUGUACACAGCCUGUUGCUUGUAUGAGUUCCCAUAGGGGACCUUGGAGACAGCC
rnacentral:snoRNA from 1 species